rnacentral:tRNA from 1 species
UCCCAUGUGGUCUAGUGGUUAGGAUUCCGGGCUUUCACCCAGGCGGCCCGGGUUCGAUUCCCGGCAAGGGAA